CCCGGACAAUCCCAUCAACUCAGGAAUAUGGGAUAGGAGAGAGGUCUCCAAACCUAGCCAUUUUCAGACUUGUGGUCUUCAAUUACCAGAAUGGCUGGCUGAGGAAUUCUGGGAGUUGAAGUCCACAAGUCUUAAAGUGGCCAAGCUUGGAGACCCCCCCUCCCCAGGAAAAGACACACACAUAUCUGGAAAGCUUUUCGUUGAAGGAGGGCGAUUUAAGGGGUUAUGGGUGGUAUGAGAUGCACAUGGGAGUAUGGAUAGCUUCUACUCACCUCCAGAUACACAGCAGUAUCUCCAAAAGAGCAAUCUGCUGAAAGCAACACCAUGUCAGCAACCGGACAGAUGUGCAUCUAAUUUAGAUGGCUGCAAAGCCUGUGAUAAUGUUAUUGGAGCAGUGUUUGCUUUGCUCUAGCUGAACUUGGCUAUUGCAGAGUGAUUAGGCGCAUUUGAAGCAAUCUAAUACAGCAGGAACCCUCAGCCAAGAAGCCAGAGCGCUGCCAAGUAGUAGUGUGAUUCUGGUGCACCAGUAGUAGAUGAAUGAAGCUGAGUUUCACUUCUUCUGUGAGAGCAUUUUGGAGGCAUCCUCUUUUGAAUAUCAAAUUCCCGUCAGAUGUUCUACAGGACAGCUCUGUUACGAAAUUUCAAUCAGGGCAUUUGCAAAGCCUUAUAUCUGAAGAGUCAUCUUUCUGUCUGGCUCUCCUCUUUAAUAAACUACAACCUUUCUAAAGCAGUCACCAUGUUGUUUAUUCCCAGCUUGGACUGAACCAUGAUGAAGACUUUUCCUUCAACAGAACCUCACAGAAUGUUCUUCUCUGCUUUUAUUUUCUCACCAAGAAAUGACCUCAAAUUCUGACCUGUGACGAACCCUAAGAAAACGCUGGUCAGGACCCAGAAUUCCCACUCCAUGACUCUCUUGCCAUACGAAUAAUUGCUGAUGUAUCAGGAGAAUUGUUCUUGGCUACCCCUCACCACACUUUCUUAGGAAAUCAUCUAACACUGAUUUCCUUGGCAAACCUGAAGGACAUUGUCUCACCUGAAUUUGCACAGUAUCUUCUUUCUCUUGUGUCCAAGGUCACACCCUGUGCUAAUAGGGUUUAGCUCACUGUGGGGGGAUCAUUUCAGCUGCUGUGUGCUUAGGAGAUGUGGUUGAUGCUUUGGUGUGUGAGGCAAAGCCAUCCAGUUCUGGCUUGUUUAAGAAACCAUGCUUAAACUGUGGCUUUACACAAUAGGUGAAACUUGGGACACAGCUCACACAACAUACUAAGCCAGUUGUAGGAAACUGGUUAUUAUUGUUUCUGUUUAUAUCAUAUAUUUGUGAGGUGUGUGUGUGUGUGUGUGUGUGUACGUGUGUGUGUUUAUAUAUGUAUAUAUAUCUGUGGAAAUUAACCUAUUAUUAACCAACCCUACUUAAAUAAACCAUGGCUUAGAUGCUGUAGAAAAUUGCCACAUGGUUGCAUUUCUUUGAUAAUCCAGACUCUUUCCCCUGCCUUCAAGAAUUCAGUCCCAAUGGGAAAUACAGAUAG